CUACGGGUGGCACCAGGCGCGAAACCUCUACAAUGCACGCAAGUGUGAUAGGGGAAUCCCGGGUGCUCAUGCUUUGCAUGGGCUUUUGUUAAGGGUAAAUACCUUGGCGAAUAAGUGGUGGGCAAGACUGGUGCCAGCCGCCGCGGUAACACCAGCGCCACAAGUGGGGAUCAUGUAUUUGGCCUAAAGCGUUCGUAGCCGGUCUCGUCCGUUCUGGGUGAAAUUGCUCUGCUUAACAGGCCAACGUGCUCAGAAUACUGCGAGACUAGAGACCGGGAGGAGUUAGGGGUAUUGUGGGGGGACCGGUAAAAUGGUAUAAUCCCCGCAGGACCACCUGUGGCGAAGGCGCCUAACCAGAACGGGUCUGACGGUCAGGAACGAAAGCUAGGGGAGCAAACGGGAUUAGAUACCCCAGUAGUC
rnacentral:rRNA from 1 species